rnacentral:piRNA from 1 species
CGAACUCAGAAAUCCGCCUGCCUA